AGAACUUGAACAAGUCAUGAAUUCUUCCAUCUGGCCCUGUGGAGUUACUAUAAAUCGUUUUUUCUUCAGGCGCCCCCAAAACAACAAUCCACCAAACCAGAGUGUAGUGGCGUAACUAUCUAGAAGCCUUUUUGCUGUCUGAUGGCCCUUUUGAAGUACUAUGUAUCAAUGAGCAUUGGAUGACGGCUAAUGAAAUCGAGGUUCUUAAAUUAGGAAAUUAUUGUACAGUUUCUAGCUUUUGCAGAACUUUGCGCUAUCAUGGUGGAGUAAGUAUUUUUGUUCAUAAUUCCAUGACUCAUUGCAAAUCUUUGAGUUUUAAUAGUAUUGAGUUUGAUUUUGAAGUUUCUGGAUGUUUAUUAAAUGACAACUUAAAUGUAGUUACACUGUAUCGUUCACCUUCGGGGAAUUUUGAUGUUUUUCUGGAAAAAUUAAAUUUAAUGCUUUCGUCUUUAACCAAAACCAAUAAUAAAAUUAUUGUAACAGGCGAUUUCAAUGUGAAAUUUGGCACUUCGGAUAAGCUUGCUGUUGCUUUGGUUAAUACUUUUCUUUCAUAUGGUUUAUACUCAACUGUUUUUACUCCAACUCGAGGAAAUUCCUGCCUCGAUAACAUUUUCACUAGCUUUCAAAUCAAUGAUUAUCAAGUAACAACUCAUGAUCCAGGAUUAUCUGAUCAUUGUGGUGUAUGUAUGAGUGUCUUUGUUCCUACUUCGUCUCUAGUGGCAAAUGAAAGUUCUAAUACCAAAUAUAGACCUAUAACUACUUUAGGAUUAUUCCACCUAUAUAACUUUAUUGAAAAUAUCAACUGGGAUUUUAUCAACAAUACUAACAAUGAUGUUGAAGACUUAUUUACUCAAUUUAACAGUAUUCUAGUACAUUAUGUAUCUAUUUGUUUUCCUGAAAAAAUUUUUUCCACUCGAGCAUCAAAAAAUUGGUUUAAUGACAAUUUGCGAGCUUUACGUAACAUGCAAACUCUGCUUUUUCAGCUUCAAAACAAACAAAUUAUUGAUAAAGAGGUUUACACUGAUUUCAGGAAAUUCUAUCGCAGUGAAAUUGCAAAAGCUUUAGUUAAAUUUCAUGAUAACAUGAUCAACAACGUCCCUAACAAACAAAAAGCAUUGUGGGAUAUUGUCAACACAAAGAGAAAAAAUUCUGUUAAAUUGCCUACGAAUCUGUCGCCUGACACUAUCAAUAACUAUUUUACUAACAUUGCUGCCAAUACAAUUAACGCGUUACCCAAAACAUCAAAUAUUUUAACAUCGUUUGAAACUGACUCUCGAUUUUCUUUCCAUGAAGUUUCGUAUAACGAAGUUAGGGAUGCCAUUAAUCAUUUGAAGAAAUCUAAUAGUCGUGAUGCCUACAAUAUUAGUUCAAAAAUUCUAAAAUCGUUAGUAAAUCUUAUAGUUAUUCCUCUGACUAAAAUCAUUAAUAGGUGUAUUAGAGAAAGUUUAUUUCCAGCAGUUCUAAAAAUUUCCAAAGUUGUACCGGUUUUUAAGAAAGGAGAUCCGAAUGACAUCAGUAAUUAUAGACCUAUUUCUCUAGUGCCUAUUUUAGCAAAGGUUUUUGAGUUUAUUUUAAAAAAGCAAAUCAACUCGUAUUUUGAGAAUAAUAGUCUCUACUCGCAGUUCCAAUUUGGUUUUAGAUGUAAUCACUCAACAUCCCUAGCUAUUAACUACCUUAGUGAAAAAAUUUUGUCUAGUUUUGAAAAUAAGGAAAAUACCUAUGUUUGCUGUUUGGACUUAACAAAAGCAUUUGAUUGUGUUGAGCAUGGUAUAUUGUUACAAAAAUUAAAAUCGUAUGGAUUCUGUGUCAGAAGUAUUAAUUUGAUGAAUUCAUACUUAAUAAAUAGAUGUCAGUUCGUUUCUGCUCACAAUAUUAAUUCCAACAAAAUGGAAAUUAAAUUUGGUGUACCGCAAGCAUCGGUCCUAGGACCGACUCUAUUUCUCAUCUUUAUAAAUGACCUGCCACUUUCUAUUAAAGAUACUAAUUUCUUACUGUUUGCUGACGACACCACUAUCUAUGGCGCUUUUGAUUCAAAAGAGGCUCUGGAUCACAUAAAAACUUGUGUUGAAACCAAAAUUAAAGACUGGUUUAUUGGUAACAAACUUACCGUUAAUUGUGCCAAAACUCAAGAAAUUAUUUUUUCCUUAAACAAAUCAUUUAUUACCCCUUCUUUUAUUAAGCUGUUAGGUGUUUUUCUGGAUUGUGGAUUGACUUGGGAAACUCAUUGCGACUACUUAGUUACCAAACUUUCUAAAAAAUUGUUCUUGUUUAGGCAGUUGGUAUCUACCUUAUCGACUAAAACUUUAUUAUCAGUUUAUCAUGCCAUAUUUCACAGUGUUCUUUCAUAUGCCAUCCUUGCUUGGGGUCAUUCGCCACAUACAGCUAAAUUAUUCAAAAUACAAAGAAAAUGUAUCAGAAUUAUUGCUGGCUGUCACUAUCAGAGUGACUGUCGUCAAUAUUUCAGUAACUUCAAAAUUUUAACGGUUCCCUGCACUUAUAUUUUGCAAUGUCUUCUAUAUACUCAUCAAAACUUAAACAAAUAUGAUUCGUUUGAUCAUGCAUACUCCACCAGAUUCCGGCAUUUACUCAGACCAAAUUUUCUGCGAUUAUCACGUACUAGAAACAGCACAAGUUAUUACUGUAUUAAAUUAUUUAACAUGUUACCUGACACCUACAAAAACCUUGAGUUCAAGGCUUUCAAAAACUGUGUUAAAUCUUUCCUGCUACAAGAGGCAUUUUACUCUGUUGAUGAAUUCAGUAAUUAUUUUUGUAAAAUGUCAUCUUAACUAAGUUCUCUUAUAUAAUUAUUAUUAUCUGCUUUUGUAUACGGUUAAAGUGUAUUUUCUUGUUUUCUUUUCUUUCUUGGUGACGUAUGUAAGAUACUUUGUAUUUGUAACAUCAAUAAACAUUAUUAUUAUU